UUAAUGCACAGUGAGCAAAGGAUCAUAUGAUUGAGCUUGUAAAAAAUAAAAUGUUUAAUAUCUGUGUGAUGGUAUAAACAUAAUUUCAGUGACAAUAAACUUAACAAUGAUUGAUCAACUUGUUUUAACAAUGGAUUAUACUGUUCAUGUUAUCAACUUUCUUAACUGCAGCAUAUAUAGUGUCACAUGUAUUCUCUGUUUACAUUAAAUUUGUUAUAGAAAUUCACUUCAACAUCUUAACAUCAGACGAUCAAAAUCAUGCAGAUGUAGGUUUUACGGUCAGGAUUAAGGCCAGAUUUUCCCAAUAUUUUAAUGUUUAUGACUGACAGAAUGACACUGAUCUAACUGCAUGUGGUAUACUAAAAUCGAUAGUUAAAAACUGUAUUAAGUGAUAAUAAACUAAAUCAUCAUGGGAUAAUUUAUCUUUAGUAGGCAUAUCGUCUAUCUAAUGAAGGCUCACUAGUCUAAAUGUACAGAAAUUAGUAUUCAGAAGUGUUUCUCAACAGACAACCAAUCAACAUCUAAUAAUGGGGACAUUCUGAUUGAAGAAUUUUUCUUACAGAACAUACACAUGUGGGCCUACAUAUAUGAUUCAAUAAUCAAUCACUACAAAUAUUUGUGAUCAAGUCAUCAACUACCAGACGAUUUCUAUGUUUUUACAUCAAUUAAUAGAGACAUGCAUUAAGAAUAUGAUCUGGAGAGAUGCCAAAGGAAACACUUACAAAUUGAAAAAAAAAAGUCAAGUGAACAAUGAGGUUCUGUUCAUGACAGAUAUUCCCUAGCUAUUAUAGAUCGAGUUUUGUAUUUAACAAUAAACACCUAGUACAUUCAACAGCCAAGAGAUUGAAAUAUAUUUUAAACAAUCAAUAUCAAGAAAAUUAGGACUGCUAAUAAGUCAGUAGACAUGGGGAACAUGGUUUCAGUAUGGUAUUGGAUAGUCUUAAAUAUCAGAACAUAGUUAAAAGAUGACUUGAAACAUUUGGAGGCCAUCAUAAUACAAGGUUUGGACCCAGGAGAUGCAGUCACAGAUGACUUACUCUUUUGGGCAGAUUUUUUGGGAGAAGCUUUUUUGGGAGACACUUUUUCCGGUUCUUCACCAUAAGUUAACUACAAGAUACUGCACAAAGUGAAGAAAAAUUGGUAAAAAAUAUCAAAACCUUUCUACACACUGACGAUUUCUGAAGUAAACAUUUAUUCCUCAGUGAUGUUAUUGAAGAUAUAAUGGGAGCAUGUUACAUUGUGUUGAACAACGUCUGAAAUUGCAAGAAAUAUUGUCAUCGAAAUAAAAGUCCAUAUGUCACAUGGCAUGUGAAGCGCAACAGACUCGCUGUUAAAUCCAGAGCAACCUUAGUCUAUAAAUAUCAUCGCUAUAAUAAUAUUAUGAGUUAAUCAGGAUUAAAGAUCAAAAGGACGGGA